ensembl:lincRNA AI427809 expressed sequence AI427809
CACAUGCGACUUCCAGAUCCUCCUUGAAAGGAGUCAGGGGAAGAUGAAGAAUUUUGCUUCUUUCAACCAUAAAUACUAGUUUCUUUUCCCCAUCACGACAUUCUAUUAUUUGAGAGUAAUUUCUGCAUGCAUCCUCUGAAAUCCUUAAAGCCCCUUACUGAAGUUCAGUUUCUCCCCUUUUCAUCUUCCUAUCAAAGUAGUGGAUACCCAAUCUCGAAUCAGAGAGGGACAAGAAUUGCCUGGAGUCACACAGCAUCUGGCGGUUCCACGAUCCCUCAGUGUUUCUACCUGUUUGUUUGUUUGUUUGUUUGUUUGUUUGUUUUUUCCCAUUUGUGUCCUAUCUGGCUGAAGGCCCAGCUGCUGCUGCAGUCUCACUCUCUGUGGGAGGUCACAAGCCACCAGCCAUCAGUCCAGUAAGGAAGUAUUCUGUACACAUCUAGCUGCAGCUGGCAUAGAGCUCAGGGGCAGCUGUCCAUCAAGAAGCUGACAAGGGUGGGAGAGGUGCAAACACCAUGUCACUGUCCCAUCGAGUCACUGCCAGCUCAGAAGGACUUGAGAGAUCUGUGCUACUGGCCCCCCAACACCUGCCUGUGUCUCUUCCUGUACUCUAUCCGCAGGAGACGGCCGUGUCAUCCCCUGUUGCACAGUUGAGGG